AGAACGAACGCUGGCGGCAUGCCUAAUACAUGCAAGUCGAACGAACUCUUCGGAGUUAGUGGCGCACGGGUGCGUAACGCGUGGGAAUCUGCCCCUUGGUUCGGAAUAACAGUUGGAAACGACUGCUAAUACCGGAUGAUGACGAAAGUCCAAAGAUUUAUCGCCAAGGGAUGAGCCCGCGUAGGAUUAGCUAGUUGGUGAGGUAAAGGCUCACCAAGGCAACGAUCCUUAGCUGGUCUGAGAGGAUGAUCAGCCACACUGGGACUGAGACACGGCCCAGACUCCACGGGAGCAGCAGUAGGGAAUAUUGGACAAGUGGGACAAAGCCUAGAUCCAGCAAUGCCGCGUGAGUGA
rnacentral:rRNA from 1 species